rnacentral:rRNA from 1 species
UUGAACGCUGGCGGUAUGCUUAACACAUGCAAGUCGAACGGAAACGAUACUAGCUUGCUAGUAGGCGUCGAGUGGCGGACGGGUGAGUAACGCGUAGGAAUCUGCCUGAUAGUGGGGGAUAGCCCGAAGAAAUUCGGAUUAAUACCGCAUAAUCUAUUCGUAGUAAAGUGGGGGACUUUCGAGCCUCACGCUAUCAGAUGAGCCUGCGUAAGAUUAGCUUGUUGGUAGGGUAAAAGCCUACCAAGGCGACGAUCUUUAGCUGGUCUGAGAGGAUGAUCAGCCACAUCGGGACUGAGACACGGCCCGAACUCCUACGGGAGGCAGCAGUGGGGAAUAUUGGACAAUGGGGGCAACCCUGAUCCAGCAAUACCGCGUGUGUGAAGAAGGCCUGAGGGUUGUAAAGCACUUUCAAUUGUGAAGAAAAGUUAGCGGUUAAUAACCGUUAGCCUUGACGUUAACUUUAGAAGAAGCACCGGCUAACUCCGUGCCAGCAGCCGCGGUAAUACGGAGGGUGCAAGCGUUAAUCGGAAUUACUGGGCGUAAAGCGUGCGUAGGCGGUUUAUUAAGUCAGAUGUGAAAGCCCCGGGCUUAACCUGGGAACUGCAUUUGAAACUGGUCAACUAGAGUAUGGUAGAGGAAAGUGGAAUUUCUGGUGUAGCGGUGAAAUGCGUAGAUAUCAGAAGGAACAUCAAUGGCGAAGGGCAGCUUUCUGGACCAAUACUGACGCUGAGGUACGAAAGCGUGGGUAGCAAACAGGAUUAGAUACCCUGGUAGUCCACGCCGUAAACGAUGAUAACUAGCCGUUGGGGGGAUUUACCCUUUAGUGGCGAAGCUAACGCGUUAAGUUAUCCGCCUGGGGAGUACGGCCGCAAGGUUAAAACUCAAAGGAAUUGACGGGGACCCGCACAAGCGGUGGAGCAUGUGGUUUAAUUCGAUGCAACGCGAAGAACCUUACCUGGUCUUGACAUCCUGCGAACUUUCUAGAAAUAGAUUGGUGCCUUCGGGAACGCAGUGACAGGUGCUGCAUGGCUGUCGUCAGCUCGUGUCGUGAGAUGUUGGGUUAAGUCCCGUAACGAGCGCAACCCCUAUCCUUAUUUGCCAGCACAUCAUGGUGGGAACUAUAAGGAGACUGCCGGUGAUAAACCGGAGGAAGGCGGGGACGACGUCAAGUCAUCAUGGCCCUUACGACCAGGGCUACACACGUGCUACAAUGGGAAGGACAAAGAGCCGCGAAGCCGCGAGGUGUAGCUAAUCUCAUAAACCUUUUCGUAGUCCGGAUUGGAGUCUGCAACUCGACUCCAUGAAGUCGGAAUCGCUAGUAAUCGUAGAUCAGAAUGCUACGGUGAAUACGUUCCCGGGUCUUGUACACACCGC